GACGAACGCUGGCGGCGUGCUUAACACAUGCAAGUCGAGCGGUAAGGCCCUUUCGGGGGUACACGAGCGGCGAACGGGUGGAGUAACACGUGGGUGACCUCGCCCUCAGCUCUGGGAUAAGCCUGGGAAACCGGGUCUAAUACUGGAUAUGACUCCAUGACGCAUGUUGUGGGGUGGAAAGCCUUGUGCGGCUGAGGAUGGGCCCGCGGCCUAUCAGCUUGUUGGUGGGGNGAUGGCCUACCAAGGCGACGACGGGUAGCCGGCCUGAGAGGGCGA
rnacentral:rRNA from 1 species